rnacentral:rRNA from 1 species
CUUCCGUAGGGGGAACCUGCGGAGGGAUCAUUACACAAAUAUGAAGGCGGGCUGGAACCUCUCGGGGUUACAGCCUUGCUGAAUUAUUCACCCUUGUCUUUUGCGUACUUCUUGUUUCCUUGGUGGGUUCGCCCACCACUAGGACAAACAUAAACCUUUUGUAAUUGCAAUCAGCGUCAGUAACAAAUUAAUAAUUACAACUUUCAACAACGGAUCUCUUGGUUCUGGCAUCGAUGAAGAACGCAGCGAAAUGCGAUAAGUAGUGUGAAUUGCAGAAUUCAGUGAAUCAUCGAAUCUUUGAACGCACAUUGCGCCCUUUGGUAUUCCAAAGGGCAUGCCUGUUCGAGCGUCAUUUGUACCCUCAAGCUUUGCUUGGUGUUGGGCGUCUUGUCUCUAGCUUUGCUGGAGACUCGCCUUAAAGUAAUUGGCAGCCGGCCUACUGGUUUCGGAGCGCAGCACAAGUCGCACUCUCUAUCAGCAAAGGUCUAGCAUCCACUAAGCCUUUUUUUCAACUUUUGACCUCGGAUCAGGUAGGGAUACCCGCUGAACUUAAGCAUAUCAAUAAGCGGAGGAAGGGAUCC